AUCGUUAGUUCAAUUGGAAGAACACUCGGCUCCUAACCGAAUGGUUGCGGCUUCGAAAACCGCACGAU
rnacentral:tRNA from 1 species